rnacentral:rRNA from 1 species
AUACAGAGGGUGCAAGCGUUAAUCGGAAUCACUGGGCGUAAAGCGCGCGCAGGCGGCCAUUUAAGUUGGAUGUGAAAGCCUACGGCUCAACCGUAGAACUGCAUCCAAAACUAUUUGGCUAGAGUGUGGGAGAGGAAGAUGGAAUUAGUUGUGUAGGGGUAAAAUCCGUAGAGAUAACUAGGAAUACCAAAAGCGAAGGCAAUCUUCUGGAACAUUACUGACGCUGAGGCGCGAAAGCGUGGGGAGCAAACAGGAUUAGAAACCCCGGUAGUCC